UACCCUACUGAUGAUGUGUUGUUGCCAUGG
rnacentral:piRNA from 4 species